UUAACUUUAAAAACACACAUGUAUCGACACAACACUUUGGGUGCCUUCUGACCAGAUUAAUAUGAGCUGGCGUUGGUUAAAGUGCUGGGAUACAUGGAGGCCUAAC
rnacentral:sRNA from 1 species